AGCGAACGCUGGCGGCAGGCCUAACACAUGCAAGUCGAACGAACCUUUCGGGGUUAGUGGCGGACGGGUGAGUAACACGUGGGAACGUGCCUUUAGGUUCGGAAUAACUCAGGGAAACUUGUGCUAAUACCGAAUGUGCCCUUCGGGGGAAAGAUUUAUCGCCUUUAGAUCGGCCCGCGUCUGAUUAGCUAGUUGGUUGAGGUAAUGGCUCACCAAGGCGACGAUCAGUAGCUGGUCUGAGAGGAUGAUCAGCCACAUUGGGACUGAGACACGGCCCAAACUCCUACGGGAGGCAGCAGUGGGGAAUCUUGCGCAAUGGGCGAAAGCCUGACGCAGCCAUGCCGCGUGAAUGAUGAAGGUCUUAGGAUUGUAAAAUUCUUUCACCGGGGACGAUAAUGACGGUACCCGGAGAAGAAGCCCCGGCUAACUUCGUG
rnacentral:rRNA from 1 species